rnacentral:rRNA from 1 species
GACGAACGCUGGCGGCGUGCCUAACACAUGCAAGUCGAACGGAGUCGGCCCCGCAAGGGACUGACUUAGUGGCGAACGGGUGAGUAACGCGUGAGCAACCUGCCUUUCAGUGGGGGACAACAGUUGGAAACGACUGCUAAUACCGCAUAAUGCAUUUUGACCGCCUGAUCGAGCUGCCAAAGAUUUAUUGCUGAAAGAUGGGCUCGCGUCUGAUUAGAUAGUUGGUGAGGUAACGGCCCACCAAGUCGACGAUCAGUAGCCGGACUGAGAGGUUGAACGGCCACAUUGGGACUGAGAUACGGCCCAGACUCCUACGGGAGGCAGCAGUGGGGAAUAUUGGGCAAUGGGGGAAACCCUGACCCAGCAACGCCGCGUGAAGGAAGAAGGCUUUCGGGUUGUAAACUUCUUUUACCAGGGACGAAGAAAGUGACGGUACCUGGAGAAAAAGCCACGGCUAACUACGUG